rnacentral:rRNA from 1 species
GACUGCGGAGGAUCAUUAAUGAUUAACUGUCUGUCGAGCUUGCUCACAGACUUAUCAUAUCCAUAACACCUGUGCACUUGUCGGAUGGCUUAGUGAAGACCGCAAGGUUGGAACUAUCCAUCUACUUUACAUAACAAUUUAGUAACAAAUGUAGUCUUAUUAUAACAUAAUAAAACUUUCAACAACGGAUCUCUUGGCUCUCGCAUCGAUGAAGAACGCAGCGAAAUGCGAUAAGUAAUGUGAAUUGCAGAAUUCAGUGAAUCAUCGAAUCUUUGAACGCACCUUGCGCUCCCUGGUAUUCCGGGGAGCAUGCCUGUUUGAGUGUCAUGAAAACCCUCAACCUUAGAUUGGUUAACACCUUUCUUUGGCUUGGAUUUGGACGUUUGCCGAUGAUAAGUCGGCUCGUCUUAAAAGUAAUAGCUGGAUCUGUCUCGCGACAUGGUUUGACUUGGCGUAAUAAGUAUUUCGCUAAGGACAUCUUCGGAUGGCCGCGUUGCAAGACUAAAGACCGCUUUCUAAUCCAUUGAUCUUCGGAUUAAUAUUCUUGACAUCUGGCCUCAAAUCAGGUAGGACUACCCGCUGAACUUAAGCAUAUCAAUAAGCGGAGGA